GGGUGUUUUUGCUAGCAUCUCUUGAGAAUUCAACAGGGGUAUUUUAUGAUUGAUGUGCAAACACAGUACAAAUAGAGGGUCGUGAACAUCCUGUUGACAGGAAUAAUCACAGACAAUUCUUGUAUGGAGAGCUCUUAACAACCUCCCCAAAGAAGGGACACUUGUCCAGUCAGUCAAUUAGUUCUGCAAGCUUGUUCAUUAGAGCAGGUGUCUAUGUAUCUGAGAAUAACGCGUGCUAUUAAGAAGAGAGCCAUGGUUAAGUCACAUAACCAUGGCCAUACACCGAACCAUUGGUGGACAAGUGAUCACUCAUGAGACAUCAGAGACAUCAGAUACAUUAGAUCCAUAAAUAAUUACAUAUUCCAGUGAUCAUAUUCUAGUGUGUGAAUGGUGAAAGCCUGUAUGAAACCUGUUAUGUGAUGCAGCUUUAGACUGAACUGUUACUUACUAGAAGUGUUCUGGAAAGGUAAUUUCCUUCAGAAGUACUUUCAAUGAUUAUUCAUGAAUAGGAAAUAAUGUCUCUAUAGCUAUUUAGAAAUGUAGCUAAUUAAAUUAAUUAUUUAUAGUGCCGGGCUACACCACUGUGUUUGUUCUAUCUUGCACCAGCAUGGAAAGCAACAACUACAACUAAAUCCUAUAGUAAAUCCUAAUUUAGCUACUAAAUAAAAUCCAUCAUUACUAUAAAGCCAGCGAGCGCUAAAGAACAUUUUUCCAUCAAAAUAGAAUCCUUACCAAAAUAAUUGGCAGGUCUGGAUUAGUCUUUAGUGCUGAUGACAAUGAAAUGAUUUACAAUGAAACGAUAAGGCUCCAUAACUAAGGCUGCAUGAAAGCAAACCACUGACAUCAGACUGGUUUCGCCAUCCAAUUAAUCUAGAGGGAUUAAAGUAGAGAAGAUUUGCUUCCAUGUUUAAGCAUGCAUGAGGUUUGUGUUUGUGUGUGUCUUUGAUUUUCUCUAGUGCCGGUUGGUCUGUUGAGGGGGAGGAGGAAUGGACACAGAGGAAAUGAAAGUGUGAGCCUCUUCAUGAAUACUCCAUCUCCUCCACCUUCAAACACCCUUCCUGCACCUCUCCACGCCACAAGUGCCCCCACUGAUCUCAGUUCAGGGGCUGGUAUGGAGGGAGAAGUUCAUUAAUGGAGAUGCAGAAGCGUCUAUGUAAAAAAACAUAUACGCACCUUUCAGUGACGGAAACUAUUGAUGUGACACUACUUGAGUGCCAUGGACCUCAUAGCGAGUGAACUCAAUUAGCCACAUCAAUGUAUGUACCAUCUGAAAUGAGGGUGAAAGAUAACAAUAAUUAAAAUGAGGUCACCUAUUCAGGCUGAAGAUUGACAGGUCUUUUAGGCAAAGCCCACAUCACAGGGGACACCAAAUGUGUUGUAUUCCAGGGCUGAAAUCACAAUAAAUGACCACACCAAAGAUCUAAUUCUGAAAGGGGUUGAUCUGGAGAUUUAAAUGCACUUUAAAUGCGCUGCUAUUUCAAUAUAUUCUACCUCUGGUGAAGACAUGGAAGUCAGGCCUGAAAACAGCCACUGUUAGGAUCUGUUUGACCGUUUCACCUGGUUGCCUGGCAAUGCAUUGUGCUGGUUUGAGUGUUGCCACCCAAUCUGAGGAUUAGGAUGUAAUUACUGUGUAUCAAAUAAAAGAACUGGUGCUCACCAUACACGGCUCUGGUGUUGGAUUUCUGCAGUAACAUUUCACUCUGGAAUUGGACAGAAAUGCACCAGAGGAAAAUACUGCAACUCCUCAACACUUUACAUGAGGUGGGUAAAAGUUCUUCACAGACAACAGCACAAGGCUUUAACAGCAUGGAUGACAAUACUCUCAAACAAGAUUUCAGAAAAAAACGACACACUUAAAAAUGGUAACAAAUAGCCUACGUUCCACCAUAGAGCAACUGUGGGAUCUGUGCAUAUGUUUAUAUAAUCAGAAAAUGUAUAUUUGCCUAAAGAAAUAAAAGUAACAUAAACAGAUGAAAAAUGUAAAAGACGUUUCUUUGAAUUGUCAGGUGAUCUUUCAAUCGCUGAUUCAGUGUAUAUGCACUUCUAAAAAUGUUCAAGACUACCGGAAUUUAAACUACCCUUCCUUUUCAACUUAACAAUGAUGCAUUAUGUCUUUCUCACUUAGAAUUCAGAAAGAAAAAUGCCUUUGGAUCUGGACUUGAUGGACUGAGUAUGUUAAACCUAUACGGUCAGAUUUUUUUGGAAUGGUUAAAAGAACGUGACAAUGUGAUGUAUUUUAACUUAUUUGAACUUUAUUUCUAUUCUAAUUUUUGCGAUAUGUAAUGUGAGCGCUCCCCAUGUUCGUGUAAUUUUUUUAGAAGGUAAACCUUUGGUCAUAGUAAAGAAUUGACAUAUAUUUUCAAGUUCAAAAUUAUAUAUUUUCCCUAGCAAUGAGUCCUGAACUAGGAAGGAACUUGUGUGUUUUUAAAGUAUUGAAGUAUUAAAGUAUUGUAAAUGUGUCAUGUUUGACUGUACUCUUGUCAAUACCCAGAUAACCAAAAGAAAAAGAAAAUAAUAAAAAAAAGCAAUGAUGCAUUAACAGAUACAACAAUCAGUAGCCCAUACAAGCGUUAUCUAUUAGUUCUUACACACCUUCCUAAAAAAAAUAACUAUCAGUACGUAAUUAAACAGUGAGAGAACAUUACUCACCAUUAAGCUGUGAACUGCUAGAGACUGCACAUCAGGGGGUGCAAAUAUGAAUGAUCAUCAAGCUACUGGCAUCAUCUCUUCCCCAUCGAGACAAAAUAACAACAUGUGCCUCAACCGCCACAGAGAAUUCUGGGAUACUCACUUUAGAAUCACCACCAGUGAGGGAAGGGGAGGCGUGAGCGAGGGAAAGGAGCUAAAGAAAGGAGAGAGAGGGGAGGGGAUAAAGGGUUAGGGAGUAAGAGCAACAGAGACAGAGGGAGUGACGUGAGAAGCACAUUGGAGAAAACUGGGAAGUUUAGCAUUUAAAAGGUACAGUUUCUAAUCCCAUACACUUUUUGUCAGAUCAAUGCUCCUCACGGACCUCUAGCUGUCUGUUCAUUCCUCGGUCACUCAAAAAAAAAAAACUCAGGUGUUCGUGCAGUCCUGUUUAUGUGGAUGAAAAGCAUAGUGGCUCGGAUCGAGCCAUAAACAGUCCCAGCUAAUCAACACAGUGCGUGCUUCAGCAGCACGACAGGGAGAGGUGUCAUUUGAUUGGCUGUUUAGCUCAAAUAUCAACAACCUUUCACAAAACCGAAACCAAAUUGCGG
ensembl:lncRNA